rnacentral:rRNA from 1 species
UACGUAGGUGGCUAGCGUUGUCCGGAUUUACUGGGCGUAAAGAGCGCGCAGGCGGUCGUUCAAGUCGAGUGUGAAAGCCCCCCGGCUCAACUGGGGAGGGUCACUCGAUACUGAUCGACUCGAAGGCAGGAGAGGGAAGCGGAAUUCCCGGUGUAGUGGUGAAAUGCGUAGAUAUCAGGAGGAACACCGGUGGCGAAGGCGGAUCUCUGGGCCAUUACUGACGCUGAGGAGCGAAAGCGUGGGGAGCGAACAGG